rnacentral:rRNA from 1 species
UGGGGAAUAUUGCACAAUGGGCGAAAGCCUGAUGCAGCGACGCCGCGUGAGGGAUGACGGCCUUCGGGUUGUAAACCUCUUUCAGCAGGGACGAAGCGCAAGUGACGGUACCUGCAGAAGAAGCACCGGCUAACUACGUGCCAGCAGCCGCGGUAAUACGUAGGGUGCAAGCGUUGUCCGGAAUUACUGGGCGUAAAGAGUUCGUAGGCGGUUUGUCGCGUCGUUUGUGAAAACCAGCAGCUCAACUGCUGGCUUGCAGGCGAUACGGGGAGACUUGAGUACUGCAGGGGAGACUGGAAUUCCUGGUGUAGCGGUGAAAUGCGCAGAUAUCAGGAGGAACACCGGUGGCGAAGGCGGGUCUCUGGGCAGUAACUGACGCUGAGGAACGAAAGCGUGGGUAGCGAACAGG